GUCACGUGCGUGACAGGAGUCGGGGUUAUGCGUAGGGGGGAAGCGUGAAUGGGGAUUACUGGGGGUAAAGUUGAUGUAGGUGGUGUGUUAAGUCUGAGUGGAAAGCCCUGGGGGUAACCUGGGAAUGGGAUUGGAGACUGGCAGGGUAGAGUGCGGUAGAGGGUAGUGGAAUUCCCGGUGUAGCAGUGAAAUGCGUAGAGAUCGGGAGGAACAGCUGUGGCGAAGGCGACUACCUGGACCAGCACUGACACUGAGGCACGAAAGCGCGGGGAGCAAACAGGAUUAGAUACCCGAGUAGUC
rnacentral:rRNA from 1 species